CCUACGGGAGGCUGCAGUGGGGGAUAUUGGACAAUGGGGGAAACCCUGAUCCAGCGACGCCGCGUGAGUGAAGAAGUAUUUCGGUAUGUAAAGCUCUGUCAGCAGGGAAGAAAGAAAUGACGGUACCUGACCAAGCAGCCGCGGCUAACUACGUGCCAGCAGCCGCGGUAAUACGUAGGGGGCAAGCGUUAUCCGGAAUUACUGGGUGUAAAGGGAGCGUAGACGGUGAUGCAAGUCUGGAGUGAAAGGCGGGGGCACAACCCCCGGACUGCUCUGGAAACUGUGUAACUUGAGUGCAGGAGAGGUAAGCGGAAUUCCUAGUGUAGCGGUGAAAUGCGUAGAUAUUAGGCGGAACACCAGUGGCGAAGGCGGCUUACUGGACUGUAACUGACGUUGAGGCACGAAGGCCAGGGGAGCGAAAGGGAUUAGAUACCCCAGUAGUC
rnacentral:rRNA from 1 species